CGCAAGAAUGGCACAAUUACACAGAAGACAAACACUUUGAUAUCAAAGGGUCGGCCUGCACAUAGACAAAAGGAAGAUGAAAGUGAGAGGUGCAAGGUCUCGGGCGUGGCGGAUGAAGGUCGAGGAACGAAACCUGCUACACAGAAAGGGUGCAAGGCUGGACGGUGCACGUUCAAAAAAUUGAUUUCUCAAACUUUAAUAACUGCGAAACGCCGAGGCCACUAAUUCGAAAAGAAACAAUUCCACAAUAUAGAAAAGCAUAUCACGCGAAAAUGAUCGGUUUUUUUAAAUUAUUUGUCGUGACGAGACCAGACCUUGCUCCAGUGGUGUUUCGAAGCAAUUUCAAAAAGCGAAACAGAAAUGGACGGAAAGGACGGUCGCGUGUUUUCGAAAGACAGCCAAAUUUGAAGAAUCAUCUUAAUUAAUACUAACCCUUGCCCUUUUAGAUUGGCAGAUUUAAGAUUGCGAAAAUGUUUCUUCCUCCAAAUUUAUAAAAUAUGGUCAAAAGACAAUGUCUCUUUCUUGUGGCUUUUAACAAUUAACAUUGGUUGAUAUCAA